GAUGAACGCUAGCUACAGGCUUAACACAUGCAAGUCGAGGGGCAGCAUGAUCGAAGCUUGCUUUGAUUGAUGGCGACCGGCGCACGGGUGAGUAACGCGUAUCCAACCUUCCCUAUAGUAGAGAAUAGCCCGGCGAAAGUCGGAUUAAUGCUCUAUGUUGUAUUUAGAGGACAUCUGAAGAAUACCAAAGGUUUACCGCUAUAGGAUGGGGAUGCGUCUGAUUAGGUUGUUGGCGGGGUAACGGCCCACCAAGCCCACGAUCAGUAGGGGUUCUGAGAGGAAGGUCCCCCACAUUGGAACUGAGACACGGUCCAAACUCCUACGGGAGGCAGCAGUGAGGAAUAUUGGUCAAUGGACGAAAGUCUGAACCAGCCAAGUAGCGUGCAGGAUGACGGCCCUAUGGGUUGUAAACUGCUUUUAUACAGGGAUAAAGUGAGGGACGUGUCCCUUUUUGUAGGUACUGUAUGAAUAAGGACCGGCUAAUUCCGUGCCAGCCGCCGC
rnacentral:rRNA from 1 species